UAAAUCAAGCGUUGAAGGGCGAUUGGCGGAUGCCUUGGCACUGUAAGACGAUGAAGGACGUGGUAUACUGCGAUAAGUUUCGGGGAGCCGUAUGCAGGCUUUGAUCCGAAAAUUUCCGAAUGGGGAAACCUAACACUUCGUGUGUUACUUUAUACUGAAUUCAUAGGUAUAAAGAGUUAACCUGGAGAACUGAAACAUCUAAGUAACCAGAGGAAAAGAAAUCAAUUGAGACUCCGUGAGUAGUGGCGAGCGAAAGCGGACUAGGCCAGCAACUUAGUUUAGACAAUUUGAAUAGUUUGGAAAAACUAACCACAGAGGGUGAUAGUCCCGUAAAAGUAAUGCUGAUUCUAAGUUCUUGAGUAAAGCGGGACACGUGAAAUCCUGCUCGAAUUUUGGGGGACCACCCUCUAAGCCUAAGUACUCUACAGUGACCGAUAGUGAACUAGUACCGUGAGGGAAAGGUGAAAAGAACCCCUAUUAGGGGAGUGAAAUAGAACCUGAAACCGAUUGCCUACAAACAGUCGAAGCUCUUUUUAGAGUGACGGCGUACCUUUUGUAUAAUGGGUCAGUGACUUAAUUUGUAUAGCAAGCUUAAGCCGAAUAGGUGGAGGCGUAGCGAAAGCAAGUCUUAAUAUGGCGUGUAGUUAUAUGAAUUAGACCCGAAAACGAAUGAGCUUACCAUGAACAGGUUGAAAGUAGGGUAACACCUACCGGAGGACCGAACCAGUUGACGUUGAAAAGUCUUUGGAUGAUUUGUGGUAAGGGGUGAAAGGCCAACCAAAUUCGUAGAUAGCUGGUUUUCCGCGAAAACUAUUUAGGUAGUGCGUUGAAUAAAUAGACUUUUGGAGGUAGAGCACUAAAUGGGCUAGGGGAGAGAAAUCUCUACCAAACCUAAUAAAACUCCGAAUGCCAAAAGUUAUUCCUCAACAGACAGACUGUGGGUGCUAAGGUCCAUGGUCGAGAGGGGAACAGCCCAGAUCACCAGAUAAGGUCCCUAAAUCAUGAUUAAGUGUGAAAGGAUGUGGAGAUUCCUUAACAGCCGGGAGGUUGGCUUAGAAGCAGCCAUCCUUUAAAGAUAGCGUAACAGCUCACCGGUCUAAUAGAGUUUCUGCGCCUAAGAUGUAACGGGGCUCAAAUCAUGUACCGAAUCUGUGGGUGUAUAAAGUUUUCGAAUUUUAUACGCGGUAGCGGAACGUUCUGUAAGCCUGCGAAGGAAUACCCGUGAGGGAUUCUGGAGGUAUCAGAAGUGCGAAUGCUGACAUAAGUAACGAUUAACAGAGUGAAAAACUCUGUCGCCGAAAAUCCAAGGUUUCCUGCGCAAGGUUAAUCCGCGCAGGGUUAGUCGGCCCCUAAGGCGAGGGCGAAAGCCGUAGUCGAUGGGAACUAGGUUAAUAUUCCUAGACCGGAUGGUAGUGACGGACUUUAUAAAUUGUUAACUCUUAAUGGAUUGAGUUGGCUAUGAAAAAGUUCCAGGAAAUAGCUCCAUCAUUAAGACCGUACCCUAAACCGACACAGGUGGAUUAGUAGAGUAUAUGUAGGCGCUUGAGAGAAUGAUGUUGAAGGAACUCGGCAAAAUGCCUCUGUAACUUCGGAAGAAAGAGGGCCUAUUUUUGGGCAACCAUUGAUAGGUGACACAAGCCAGGGAGAAGCGACUGUUUAUCAAAAACACAGGACUCUGCUAACACGUAAGUGGAUGUAUAGGGUCUGACGCCUGCCCGGUGCCGGAAGGUUAAUGCGAUGGGUGUAAGCUCAUUUCUGAAGCCCCGGUGAACG
rnacentral:rRNA from 1 species